rnacentral:sRNA from 1 species
UCUUAUUUUAAUGCAGACCUAAUAUCAGAUUCAUCAGUGAGUAAGAAUCCCGAUUCUACGCAAAGAAAUUGAAUUGAUUCUGUUUUUUUCAAGAGAUGAAAUUGCUUCUUGUGGCUAUGAAGGCAGGUCCAUUAAUGAACAUAAGAGGAAGGACCAUGGAAAGGAGUAUAUCUCUUACAUAUUCACAGAAGAUUAUGCCAAGCAGGAAUACUGCGUAUAAGACCUAAAUUUCAUUAGAAGAACCUGACUGAGGAAGUGAAAAGGAAAGGAUGGGAAAUAGGAAAACAUUUGAAAAUAAGGCUGUUGACAGGCUGGAGAGGAAGGAGGAGAUUGAAAAUUUAAAUUGUGCUACCUGAAACAAUGUAUUUUCAUGGAUACAAAUAUGUCUUUGCCUAUUUAAAAAAGUACUAGUUACUAUGAGGUAGGAUUUAUCCAUGUCAGUUAUGGCACAAUAUGCUUUAGGAAUUUAAUUCCUGGGGACUUAAAUUGAAAGUUAGUGGUAUGGUUAUUUAAAAACUCAUUAAAAACAAUUUAAAAAGA